AGCUCAUUGAAUUUUAAUAUAAUAAAAUUUAUAUUUUAAGUGGCUAAAAAAUUGCGUUAAUUUUUUACUUUUUUUUCUGACGGUGCUGGGUGUUUUCUUCCAUAUUAACUAAAUGGCGAGCAUUCAUUGCUGAAUGUCAAGGCUUAGAACAAAUAAAUAUUGAUCCUGUAGAUGGCAUUCUUAUAAAUUCUUUCAUAUGGUCAAGGGAAGAAGAUAUCAUUAAGAAAUAUUUCAAACAAUCAAACGAUGGAGGUAAAAAGGCCAAAAAUAGGAUGAAGAUAUAUUGCAUCGAUGAGCAGCGUUGGCUUGUUGGAUAAACUAAUUAGUUAUCAUAGAAUAUUUCUCAAAUCGACCAAAUUGACACUAAGGCUUGUCUUAAACUUUAUGGAAUUUACUUUGUAAGCUUCGCGACUGCUAUUUCACAAAGACUCUGCGAAUCAGAAUCAAGAUAAAAAACAUUUUUCAAUGGCAGUGGCAGAUCACCUUGUGAUGCUCUGCGCGGCAAGCUAUCGAAUUAAACACAGAAUCAUCGAUCAGCGAAAGAAAGUAUGAGGCGUGACCAGAAUUGAAGACAUAAUGCAACACGCCCCUCGCAUGACGGACUCACGCACGAGAUGUAAAGUAAGCAGCCCGAGCAUACCUACAGCGUGCAUUUACUUCAUUUACAUAAUACGUGAAAUAUAAAAAAAAAUCGAUAAAUACAAUUAAACUUGUUUAUUAUUGUGCACAAUUAAGUUUUAUUGAACUAAAUUCGUUAAUUAUUUCAACUGUAAUUAACAAAGUUAAAUAUAUUUUACUUAAUAUGGUAGAUGUUUUUCCA